GAAAAGGUAUUUUCCUAAAGUAAUGGCGAUAUAAAUCGAGAAGAAGCCACCACCUGUCCUCAUAGACCAUUUUGUCCCUUUUCACCCAAAAAUCCCUCUGUUUGCUGGACUAGGGUUUUUCUCUUUGAUCCAUCAAAUCCUUGACGAACAGUUCAGAAUCCUAUCAAUCAUGUCUUACGAGAAGCUCGACGGCUUGGCGAGGUGGUUCGGCACUAGCGUUGCAUCGGCGUUUUUCUCAUCCUUGGAACGAUGCUCGUGUGUGAAUCUCAACACUUCCGAAUCCGACGACGAAGACGAGGAAGAAGCUAAAGAUCACCCUCUCAUGGUCUCCACCGUCCCUUCUCACCUUGACUCUUGCGCUGCCACCAUCAAUCCUACCUCCGCUGAUAACCUCCCCGUUUGAUUCGAACUGGGAUCAUACAGCAAAUUUGUCGUAGUAGUCCUUUGGCUCCAUCAGAGUGGACUUUUCAUUUUUCUUCUCCGCCAACAGAGUGGAUUUACUCUGGUAUAAGCUGUAACAUUUUAGUAGACCUUUGAUAGGGUUGUAUAAAAGUGUGUGGUCUAUUGAGAGUGUUUUGUUACAAGGUCAAACAUUAAAAGCACUGGUAUGCAUUUUCCUUUUCCUUCACCUCAUCAUAUUGGAAGUUACGGUGACAGAGAAUUGGCAUGCAUCGCAUUUGGGCUACUUAAAAUUUCAAAACAUCCACAGAUUGUGAUU